rnacentral:misc_RNA from 1 species
AUGCCUUCAGGACUAGGUGGCUCGUAUAGGUCGUUAGCCGACGACGUAUACAAGAGCACAACAGUUGCAGAGAACAAGUUUAAUAUGAUAGAGAGUGUGAAGAAAGCUUUUAGCUUCGUGGCACCAAGCAACGGACGCUCUGACCCUCUGAUUGUGCGAGAUGAUGGCCGCCCUGAACCCACCAUAAUGCCUGCAAGGGACAACAGAAAAAUGCCUACCGCAGGUACCCCCGAAGAAACUGCUCUGCUGGGCAAGAUGCCGUCAGACUCCAUGGACGACAUCGAGCUCAAGAAGAUCGACCUGCAGUUCCCCGCCGUGCGCUCCAUGUCGAGGGACGACUCCGCUGUGUCGGAGGAGCGCGUGGAGACGGCCCGGGGCUCCGUGCUGGUGGCCGUGCAGGGUGACCGGGCCAAGCCCGCCAUCCUCACGUACCACGACCUCGGCCUCAACUACAUCUCCAGCUUCCAGGCCUUCUUCAACUACAUCGACAUGCGCGCGCUGCUGGACAACUUCUGCGUGUACCACGUGAACGCCCCUGGUCAGGAGGAGGGCGCUGUGCCGCUCCCCGACGAUUUUGAAUACCCCACCAUGGACGAGCUGUCUGAGCAACUGAUGUUUGUACUGAGUCACUUCGGCCUUCGGCACGUCAUCGGGCUUGGGGUUGGGGCUGGUGGCAACAUCUUGGCUCGCUUUGCCUUGGCCAAUCCAGAAAAGGUCGAGGCGUUGUGCCUUAUCAAUGUAGUCUCCACACAAGCUGGAUGGAUUGAAUGGGGCUACCAAAAAAUGAAUGCCAGGUAUCUUCGCUCUAAAGGGAUGACUCAAGGUGUUUUGGAUUACCUUAUGUGGCACCACUUUGGAAGGGGAACAGAAGAAAGGAAUCAUGACCUGGUUCAAGUAUACCGCAACUACUUUGAAAGACAAGUUAACCCUUCUAAUUUGGCAUUGUUUAUUGAUUCUUAUGUGAGACGUACUGACCUUAAACUGACUCGCGAACUGGAGCCCAACCGUCGCAAAGAGAGUGCAACCCUUCAAAUGCCUGUGAUGAACAUUACUGGCUCUCUGAGCCCCCACGUAGAUGAUACAGUCACUUUAAAUGGAAGACUCGAUCCUACCAACUCAUCUUGGAUGAAGAUUUCUGACUGUGGAAUGGUUCUUGAAGAGCAGCCUGGGAAAGUUGCAGAGGCAUUCCGGCUCUUCCUCCAGGGUCAGGGUUACGCUGUGAAACUGUCCCGCAAGCUUUCAUCCUCUUUGUCAGCUGAAGGUAAAGGUAACUAGUGCGGCAAUUAGCACAUGUAGGCGCUCCAUGCUCCCCACGCUUGGCCUAGUACCACAUGUAUGAUCAAGGUUCCCACUGCUCGCCUAUUCGACUUCACCCGUUCUGCCUCAUUGGAUGACUCAGAUUUGCUCUCUCAUGCUCAUUGGUCCAAUGCAUCCAUUCAUAUCACAGAAAACCCAAUAUCGGAGGCAGUUGC